rnacentral:rRNA from 1 species
GUCUACAGUCAUACCACCCUGAGCAUGCCAGAUUCUGUCUGAUCUUGGAAGCUAAGCAGGGACAGGCCUGGUUAGUACUUAGAUGGGAGAUAGAAGAGAUCCAAUGUUUAGAGAUU